rnacentral:rRNA from 1 species
AGCGAACGUUAGCGGCGGGCCUAACACAUGCAAGUCGAGCGAGAAAGUGGCUUCGGCCAUCAGUAAAGCGGCGGACGGGUGAGUAACACGUAGGUAAUCUUCCCUUGAGAGGGGGACAACGUUUCGAAAGGAACGCUAAUACCGCAUACGUUCC